UACGGGGGGAGCAAGCGUUGUUCGGAUUUACUGGGCGUUAAAGGGCGCGUAGGCGGCGUGACAAGUCACUUGUGAAAUCUCCGGGCUUAACUCGGAACGGUCAAGUGAUACUGUCGUGACUAGAGUACAGAAGGGGCAACUGGAAUUCCCGGUGUAGUGGUGGAAUGCGUAGAUAGUCGGGAGGAACACCAGUGGCGAAGGCGGUUGCCCUGGAGCUUUGCGUGACGCUGAUGCGCGAAAGCGUGGGGAGCGAUCCG
rnacentral:rRNA from 1 species